rnacentral:tRNA from 1 species
AGGCCAUGUAGUCUGGGCAUGAUCGGUCGUGUUCACACCGAAGAGGUCACUGGUUCGAACCCAGUAUCGCCCAC